GAAGUCUCCGAGGAGCUGAGCCUGUCUGGAGAAGCACCUGAAGGGAAAGCAACGUGUAUAAUUUAUGACAAAAGUCAACGGGAAACAAACAAAGGGAACCGAGGCAUAAACAGGUAAUUCCAAUCAGGACUCAGUACACCGAGGGUGUAGCCUAAAACACAGCGGCAGCAAACUCAACCCAGUAGCACCAGCUUUCGCUUGUGUGUGAGUUCCUGUCCCUACAGCCAGGAGCCCAAUACAUGCCCCUUCUUGCUCAGUGUUUUAAUGAGACUGCUCAGCACACCAAGUGUGUACAUCUACAUAAUUUGGAAAGUGGCGCUGAGGAGAGAUAAGAGUAUAUAGCCCGUGACACGUGCAGGCCCUGGAGUGGAGCAGCUACUCUCCGUUCAGCAAGUAUUCUUGGCCACGAGACAUGGACCAGUGCUGGAGACUUACCAUGAGAGCACACAGAGUCCUCAUUCUGUGCCAGUUUCCAUUGCAGUCUGGAACGACAGAGAGCAAGCAGAUGAAUAUGUGUUUGACACACAUCUGAAGUCUUUUUUAGGAUUGUAGCUGACCUUGGGCAACCAAAACUUCAAGGAGUGGAAUAAUCGAGAAGGUGAUGGGACUUUCCUGUGUUCAAAAUAGAUUGUGAAGUCUUUGGAGGGUUUUGACUUAAGGAUGCCGCUGCCACAGCUUUAUUUGAAAAAGAAUCAUCCUGUGUUUGCCACUCUAGAGGCAGUGGGACCUGGGAGACUGGAGCCGACUAAACUCUUGUGCAGUAGCCAACUUUAUUCAGAGCAUCAGACAAUUUAUACUCUGACGGUUAAGAAGAGUCGCAUGAAUGAAGUGUACAGCCACCAGCUGCAUGUGGCAAGAACACGGUUUCUUCAUGGAGGAAUAUCAACAAAUAACAAUAGCCGACUGUAAUGAAUAAUCGAAAGUAAACUCACUCCUAUCGUCUACACCUGAGAGGAGCAUGAAGGCACAUCCCAUGAGCAAUUUCAUGCUUGUGAAGACACGGAGACCGCACACCUCUUGUCUUGGUUCCUUCCUUCCUUCCUUCCUUCCUUCCUUCCUUCCUUCCUUCCUUCCUUCCUUCCUUCCUCCCUCCCUCCCUCCCUCCCUCCCUCCCUCCCGGAACUCACUGUACCCAGCAAGUGAAAGCUUUCUCUCUUCUUAGCAGUGACCCUCCCUUUUCUCAGCCGUAGGUAACCCUGGCUCUGCUUUCCGUCUGUCUGUACUUGCCUGUUCUUGAUAAGGAAUUAAAGGAGAGUCGUACAGU
rnacentral:lncRNA from 1 species